GACGAACGCUGGCGGCGUGCUUAACACAUGCAAGUCGAACGGAAAGGCUCUGCUUUUGUUGGGUGCUCGAGUGGCGAACGGGUGAGUAACACGUGAGUAACCUGCCCUUGACUUUGGGAUACCUUCAGGAAACUCGGGCCAAUACCGGAUAGGAGCUCCUGCUGCAUGGUGGGGGUUGGAAAGUUUUGGCGGUUGGGGAUGGACUCGUGGCUUAUCAGCUUGUUGGUGGGGUAGUGGCUUACCAAGGCUUUGACGGGUAGCCGGCCUGAGAGGGUGACCGGCCAAAUUGGGAUUGAGAUACGGCCCAGACUCCUACGGGAGGCAGGAGUGGGGAAUAUUGCAGAAUGGGCGGAAGCCUGAUGCAGCAACGCCGCGUGCGGGAUAACGGCCUUCGGGUUGUAAACCGCUUUCGCCUGUGGCGAAGCGUGAGUGACGGUAAUGGGUAAAGAAGCACCGGCUAACUACGUG
rnacentral:rRNA from 1 species